ACAGAAGAGAAAAGAUGGAGCCGCUGGCGCUUUUUAUUGAGACGAAAACGACGAUUCUGUGAGGGGGUGCAUAUAAUGCAGGACGUUUGAAAGAACGUGUUAAAGACAUAAGAGACCAAGGUCUGCUCAGAGCCAGGGAGUGGGAGGACGCCGUCACGUGACAGGGGAGCCCAUGCGAUUGGACGAGGCGGCACAGGCCC
ensembl:lncRNA